UACGUAGGGUGCGAGCGUUGUCCGGAAUUAUUGGGCGUAAAGAGCUCGUAGGCGGUCUGUCGCGUCGGUCGUGAAAACCUGCAGCUUAACUGUGGGCGUGCGGUCGAUACGGGCAUGACUGGAGUUCGGCAGGGGAGACUGGAAUUCCUGGUGUAGCGGUGAAAUGCGCAGAUAUCAGGAGGAACACCGGUGGCGAAGGCGGGUCUCUGGGCCGAUACUGACGCUGAGGAGCGAAAGCCAGGGGAGCGAACGGG
rnacentral:rRNA from 1 species